GGGAGCGACUUGGCUUCGACAGGAGUAAGUCUGCUUAGAUGGCAUGUCGCUUUGGGCAAAGCGUAAAAAGCCCAAAUAAAAUUAAACGCAAACAACGUUAAAUUCGCUCCUGCUUACGCUAAAGCUGCGUAAGUUCAGUUGAGCCUGAAAUUUAAGUCAUACUAUCUAGCUUAAUUUUCGGUCAUUUUUGAUAGUGUAGCCUUGCGUUUGACAAGCGUUGAGGUGAAAUAAAGUCUUAGCCUUGCUUUUGAGUUUUGGAAGAUGAGCGAAGUAGGGUGAAGUAGUCAUCUUUGCUAAGCAUGUAGAGGUCUUUGUGGGAUUAUUUUUGGACAGGGGUUCGAUUCCCCUCGCUUCCACCA
rnacentral:tmRNA from 61 species